rnacentral:sRNA from 1 species
UUGUGAGGAAAGUGGGUGUGACCUUUCAAAGGACGUGAAAUGUGAGCAGAGGGAGGGGGUGUGACCUUACAAGGGAAGUGGGUGUGGCCUUUCAAAGAAACUGGGAGUGGGAUGAUUUCAUGGAACUUGGCAGAAGCAUCCCUGACACCCAACUGGAGCAGGUCAUCGAGAGCCAGAAGGCGAAUCAAUGCGCAGUGCUCAUCUACACUUCAGGGACCACAGGCAUACCCAAGGGAGUGAUGCUCAGUCAUGACAACAUCACGUGGAUUGCAGGAGCAGUGACAAAGGACUUUCAACUGACAGACAAGCAUGAGACGGUGGUUAGCUACCUCCCACUCAGCCACAUUGCAGCACAGAUGAUGGACAUCUGGGUACCCAUAAAGAUUGGGGCGCUCACAUACUUUGCUCAAGCAGAUGCUCUCAAGGGCACUUUGUUAAGUACUCUAAAGGAGGUAAAACCUACUGUCUUCAUUGGAGUGCCUCAAAUUUGGGAGAAGAUACAUGAGAUGGUGAAGAAAAAUAGUGCCAAGUCCACGGGCUUGAAGAAGAAGGCAUUCGUGUGGGCAAGAAACAUUGGCUUCAAGGUCAACUCAAAAAAGAUGUUGGGGAAAUAUAAUACUCCCGUGAGCUACCGCAUGGCUAAGACUCUCGUGUUCAGCAAAGUCAAGACAUCCCUUGGCUUGGAUCACUGUCACUCUUUUAUCAGUGGGACUGCGCCCCUCAACCAAGAGACUGCCGAGUUCUUUCUAAGCUUGGACAUACCUAUAGGCGAGUUGUAUGGGUUGAGUGAAAGCUCGGGACCCCACACGAUAUCCAACCAGAAUAACUACAGGCUUCUAAGCUGUGGCAAGAUCUUGACUGGGUGUAAGAAUAUGCUGUUCCAGCAGAACAAGGAUGGCAUUGGGGAGAUCUGCCUCUGGGGUAGGCACAUCUUCAUGGGCUAUCUGGAAAGUGAGACUGAAACUACAGAGGCCAUCGAUGAUGAAGGCUGGCUACACUCUGGGGAUCUGGGCCAGCUGGACGGUCUGGGUUUCCUCUAUGUCACCGGCCGCAUCAAAGAAAUCCUUAUCACUGCUGGUGGUGAAAAUGUGCCCCCCAUUCCUGUUGAGACCUUGGUUAAGAAGAAGAUCCCCAUCAUCAGUAACGCCAUGUUAGUCGGAGAUAAACUGAAGUUUCUGAGCAUGUUGCUGACGCUGAAGUGUGAGAUGAAUCAGAUGAGCGGAGAACCUCUGGACAAGCUGAACUUCGAGGCCAUCAACUUCUGUCGGGGUCUGGGCAGCCAGGCAUCCACCGUGACUGAGAUUGUGAAGCAGCAAGACCCCCUGGUCUACGAGGCCAUCCAGCAAGGCAUCAAUGCCGUGAACCAGGAAGCCAUGAACAAUGCACAGAAGAUUCAAAAGUGGGUCAUCUUGGAGAAGGACUUUUCCAUCUAUGGUGGAGAGCUAGGUCCAAUGAUGAAACUUAAGAGACAUUUUGUAGCCCAGAAAUACAAAAAACAAAUUGAUCAUAUGUACCACUGACUGCUUUGAUGGAGCUACUCUCAGCUGUUCUGAUGCCUUCCGCAGGAAGACCUCAUUGCAAUAAGUGAAAUGCUGCUCUAGGUAGAAGCUCUCCCUGCUGUUUUUAAGAAGCCACAUUCCUCAUUGGUCAGUUUCUUGAUUGUUUGUCUGUUGGAGAGGUGCUCCCUAGAAGAAGCUGCCAUAUGUUUCAAAGCAAUAAAAUCACUGUAGAUCUUUCUAAGGACCUUCAAGUCAUGAUUCCAGGGAAGCCUAUUGGGAAGUCUACUAAAAACUGCCUGAUUUAGAAGAAAGACCUGAACUUGUGGGCUCCCAUUUGAUUUUUUUCUCCUCAGGGGACUUAGACAUUAGAAAGAAAAAGCCUCACAGAUUUGAAGAACUGGACCCCCAAAUCAACUCACCUGCCUGGAAGCAACUGGGAAACCCUUCCAAUAAGUCCUGAUAAUAAAGCACUUCAGGGUC